rnacentral:tRNA from 1 species
GUUUUAAUAAUUUAAACAAAAAUAUUGGUCUUGUAAGCCGAAAUUAAGAUAUUUCUUUUAAAGCU